rnacentral:rRNA from 1 species
GAUGAACGCUAGCGGCAGGCUUAACACAUGCAAGUCGAGGGGUAGAGUUCUUCGGAACUUGAGACCGGCGCACGGGUGCGUAACGCGUAUGCAAUCUACCUUUACAGAGGGAUAGCCCAGAGAAAUUUGGAUUAAUACCUCAUAGUAUUAUGACUCGGCAUCGAGCUAUAAUUAAAGUCACAACGGUAAAGAUGAGCAUGCGUCCCAUUAGCUAGUUGGUAAGGUAACGCUUACCAAGGCUACGAUGGGUAGGGUCCUGAGAGGGAGAUCCCCCACACUGGUACUGAGACACGGACCAGACUCCUACGGGAGGCAGCAGUGAGGAAUAUUGGACAAUGGGCGCAAGCCUGAUCCAGCCAUGCCGCGUGCAGGAUGACGGUCCUAU